GACGAACGCUGGCGGCGUGCUUAACACAUGCAAGUCGAACGAUGAAACCUAGCUUGCUAGGUCGAUUAGUGGCGAACGGGUGAGUAACACGUGACUAACCUGCCCCUUUCUCUGGGAUAACGCUCCGAAAGGAGUGCUAAUACCGGAUACUCACACCGAGGCACAUGCCUUGGUGUGGAAAGUUUUUCGGAAAGGGAUGGAGUCGCGGCCUAUCAGCUUGUUGGUGAGGUAACGGCUCACCAAGGCGACGACGGGUAGCCGGCCUGAGAGGGCGACCGGCCACACUGGGACUGAGACACGGCCCAGACUCCUACGGGAGGCAGCAGUGGGGAAUAUUGCACAAUGGGCGCAAGCCUGAUGCAGCGACGCCGCGUGAGGGAUGAAGGUCUUCGGAUUGUAAACCUCUUUCAGUAGGGACGAAGCGAAAGUGACGGUACCUAAAGAAGAAGCACCGGCUAACUACGUGCCAGCCGCCGCGGUAA
rnacentral:rRNA from 1 species